ensembl:lncRNA
CAGUUGCCACCUUGUGGUAAAAGAUCAUUGAAGGGAGCUUGAUGCAGUGCAGAUGCAUAAGUUCUUUAAACAAGUUUUUCCAUUUGGCUUUGUAGGCACGCAUCAGUGUUUUAAAUCUGAUGUGGACAGCUACAGGAAGCCAGUGGAGGGAGCGUAGCAAUGGGGUGGUGUGGAAGAACUUAGGAAGGUUGAAGUUAAUGAAAUGCAUUCUGGAUUAGUUGCAGAGGUUGGAUGAUGCUCAGAGGCAGAUCUAUCAGGAGUGAAGCUCUGUAUAUACGAAUUCUUCUGAUGUUGUCAAGGAUAAAUUGGCAUGAGAGUAUCAGAUUAGCAAUGUGAGAGGAAAAGGACAGUUGAUUGUCCAUGGUUACCCUAAGUUUGCAUGCAGUGACAGAAGGUGAGAUCUGAGAGUUGUCCAGGGAGAUCACAAGAUCCUGAAGUAGGAAUGAAUGACCUGGGAUGAACAGCAGUUCUGUUUUUCUGGGAUUAGGUUUCAGCUGAUGAGCUGCCACCCAGAUGUGAUGUCUGCCAGACAUGCUGAGAUCUGAAUAGAAACAAGAGUGUCUUCGAGAGGGAAGAGAAGAUGAGUUGAGUGUCAUCCACAUAGCAGUGGUAUGAAUUCGGGAGUGGUUCUGGGUCAGUUCCUGCUAGGUGGUGCUGACAGGUUCUAAACUAGCUGUGGCAGCCACUCUUAAAUGUUAUGGGAUAUAGGAAAGGUUAGGCAAGGCACAGGUGGACCUCUUCGCCAAUGCCAAGUCAACACAUUUGUGACUGUUGUUCUCACUGUCAAACAGACUGCUGAUACAGGAUGACUGGCCUCACCAUCUACUAUACACUUUACCUCCUCUAGGACUGACUCUUCCAAUCUAUUAUGCACUUUUCCUCCUCUUCCACUGAUUCUGCCCACAUUACACAUAAUUUAACAACUAGGCCACAAAGUCCAGUUUAUGGCCUUCGUAUGGGCAUCAAUACCUUGGUUCCCACUACUGAUUUUGCUGGUGGACAGAACACCCUUGCAGC